UACGUAGGUGGCAAGCGUUGUCCGGAAUUAUUGGGCGUAAAGCGCGCGCAGGCGGUCUCUUAAGUCUGAUGUGAAAGCCCACGGCUCAACCGUGGAGUGUCAUUGGAAACUGGGGGACUUGAGUGCAGAGGAGGAAAGCGGAAUUCCACGUGUAGCGGUGAAAUGCGUAGAGAUGUGGAGGAACACCAGUGGCGAAGGCGGCUUUCUGGUCUGUAACUGACGCUGAGGCGCGAAAGCGUGGGGAGCAAACAGG
rnacentral:rRNA from 1 species